rnacentral:rRNA from 1 species
CACGUAGGCGGAUCUUUAAGUCGGGGGUGAAAUCCUGGAGCUCAACUCCAGAACUGCCUUCGAUACUGAGGGUCUCGAGUCCGGGAGAGGUGAGUGGAACUCCGAGUGUAGAGGUGAAAUUCGUAGAUAUUCGGAAGAACACCAGUGGCGAAGGCGGCUCACUGGCCCGGUACUGACGCUGAGGUGCGAAAGCGUGGGGAGCAAACA